CAGCCGCCGCGGUAAUACCGGCGGCCCGAGUGGCGGUCACUAUUAUUGGGCUUAAAGCGUCCGUAGCCGGGUUGGGAAGUCCUCCGGGAAAUCUGGCCGCUUAACGGUCAGAAUGCCGGAGGAUACUCCCAGCCUAGGGAGCGGGAGAGGCCGAGGGUAUUCCCGGAGUAGGGGGGAAAUCCUAUAAUCCCGGGAGGACCACCUGUGGGGAAGGCGCUCGGCUGGAACGCGUCCGACGGUGAGGGACGAAGGCCAGGGGAGCAAACCGGAUUAGAUACCCGGGUAGUCCUAGCUGUAAACGAUGCGGACUUUGUGUCGGACAAGCUAUGAGCUUGUCCGGUGCCGGAGGGAAACCGUUAAGUCCGCCGCCUGGGGAGUACGGCCGCAAGGCUGAAACUUAAAGGAAUUGGCGGG
rnacentral:rRNA from 1 species